UAAAAGUUUUUUGACUUAAAUUUAUUAUAUAUUUCUUUUUUAUAUGUAAAUUUUAGUGUGAUUGAAAUUUAUUUUUAAAAAUUAAAUAGGUAUUUAAAUCGUAGUAUAUAGUUUUAUAAAUUAAAGAAAUUUAGAUAAAGAAAAUAUUAAUAAAAUAAACAAAAUUUGUGCCAGCAGUUGCGGUUAAACAGAUUAUUUAAUAAUAGAUUUUUGGUAUUAGUAAAUUAGUAAAUGAUGAAUUUAUAGUAAAAUUUAUUAGGUGAAAUUUUAUAUUUUUUAUAAAUUUUAGUGUUAGUAUUUAAACUAAUAAAUUUUUUUUGUAAACUAGGAUUAGAUACCCUAUUAUAAAAAAUAAAAGUAGAAAAUGCUUGGUUAGUAGUAGUUAUGUCCUUGAAAAUCAAAAGAAUUGGCGGUAUUUUAAUCUAUUCAGAGGAACCUGUUCUGUAAUUGAUAUUCCACAAGUUUAUUUACUUAUUUUUUUAGUUUGUAUAUCGCUGUAGUUUGAAUAUUUUAAAAAAAAUAAAAUAUUCAAUAUAUAUAUAUAUGUAUAUAAUAAAUCAAGUCAAGAUAUAGUUUAUAAAUAAGGAGUAAUGGGUUACAAUAAAAUUAAUUAAACAGAAUAAUUUUUGUAAUAAAAUUUAAAAGGUGGAUUUGAGUGUAAUUUUAUUAAAAUUAGUAUAAUGAUUUAAGUUUUAAAAUAUGUACAUAUUGCCCGUCGCUUUCAUUUUAAGAUGAAAUAAGUCGUAACAUAGUAGGUGUACUGGAAAGUGUACCUAGAAUGAU
rnacentral:ncRNA from 1 species